rnacentral:rRNA from 1 species
GGUUAAGCGACUAAGCGUACACGGUGGAUGCCCUGGCAGUCAGAGGCGAUGAAGGACGUGCUAAUCUGCGAUAAGCGUCGGUAAGGUGAUAUGAACCGUUAUAACCGGCGAUUUCCGAAUGGGGAAACCCAGUGUGAUUCGUCACACUAUCAUUAACUGAAUCCAUAGGUUAAUGAGGCGAACCGGGGGAACUGAAACAUCUAAGUACCCCGAGGAAAAGAAAUCAACCGAGAUUCCCCCAGUAGCGGCGAGCGAACGGGGAGCAGCCCAGAGCCUGAAUCAGUGUGUGUGUUAGUGGAAGCGUCUGGAAAGGCGCGCGAUACAGGGUGACAGCCCCGUACACAAAAAUGCACAUGCUGUGAGCUCGAUGAGUAGGGCGGGACACGUGGUAUCCUGUCUGAAUAUGGGGGGACCAUCCUCCAAGGCUAAAUACUCCUGACUGACCGAUAGUGAACCAGUACCGUGAGGGAAAGGCGAAAAGAACCCCGGCGAGGGGAGUGAAAAAGAACCUGAAACCGUGUACGUACAAGCAGUGGGAGCACGCUUCGGCGUGUGACUGCGUACCUUUUGUAUAAUGGGUCAGCGACUUAUAUUCUGUAGCAAGGUUAACCGAAUAGGGGAGCCGAAGGGAAACCGAGUCUUAACUGGGCGUUAAGUUGCAGGGUAUAGACCCGAAACCCGGUGAUCUAGCCAUGGGCAGGUUGAAGGUUGGGUAACACUAACUGGAGGACCGAACCGACUAAUGUUGAAAAAUUAGCGGAUGACUUGUGGCUGGGGGUGAAAGGCCAAUCAAACCGGGAGAUAGCUGGUUCUCCCCGAAAGCUAUUUAGGUAGCGCCUCGUGAAUUCAUCUCCGGGGGUAGAGCACUGUUUCGGCAAGGGGGUCAUCCCGACUUACCAACCCGAUGCAAACUGCGAAUACCGGAGAAUGUUAUCACGGGAGACACACGGCGGGUGCUAACGUCCGUCGUGAAGAGGGAAACAACCCAGACCGCCAGCUAAGGUCCCAAAGUCAUGGUUAAGUGGGAAACGAUGUGGGAAGGCCCAGACAGCCAGGAUGUUGGCUUAGAAGCAGCCAUCAUUUAAAGAAAGCGUAAUAGCUCACUGGUCGAGUCGGCCUGCGCGGAAGAUGUAACGGGGCUAAACCAUGCACCGAAGCUGCGGCAGCGACACUAUGUGUUGUUGGGUAGGGGAGCGUUCUGUAAGCCUGUGAAGGUGUACUGUGAGGUAUGCUGGAGGUAUCAGAAGUGCGAAUGCUGACAUAAGUAACGAUAAAGCGGGUGAAAAGCCCGCUCGCCGGAAGACCAAGGGUUCCUGUCCAACGUUAAUCGGGGCAGGGUGAGUCGACCCCUAAGGCGAGGCCGAAAGGCGUAGUCGAUGGGAAACAGGUUAAUAUUCCUGUACUUGGUGUUACUGCGAAGGGGGGACGGAGAAGGCUAUGUUGGCCGGGCGACGGUUGUCCCGGUUUAAGCGUGUAGGCUGGUUUUCCAGGCAAAUCCGGAAAAUCAAGGCUGAGGCGUGAUGACGAGGCACUACGGUGCUGAAGCAACAAAUGCCCUGCUUCCAGGAAAAGCCUCUAAGCAUCAGGUAACAUCAAAUCGUACCCCAAACCGACACAGGUGGUCAGGUAGAGAAUACCAAGGCGCUUGAGAGAACUCGGGUGAAGGAACUAGGCAAAAUGGUGCCGUAACUUCGGGAGAAGGCACGCUGAUAUGUAGGUGAAGCGACUUGCUCGUGGAGCUGAAAUCAGUCGAAGAUACCAGCUGGCUGCAACUGUUUAUUAAAAACACAGCACUGUGCAAACACGAAAGUGGACGUAUACGGUGUGACGCCUGCCCGGUGCCGGAAGGUUAAUUGAUGGGGUUAGCGCAAGCGAAGCUCUUGAUCGAAGCCCCGGUAAACGGCGGCCGUAACUAUAACGGUCCUAAGGUAGCGAAAUUCCUUGUCGGGUAAGUUCCGACCUGCACGAAUGGCGUAAUGAUGGCCAGGCUGUCUCCACCCGAGACUCAGUGAAAUUGAACUCGCUGUGAAGAUGCAGUGUACCCGCGGCAAGACGGAAAGACCCCGUGAACCUUUACUAUAGCUUGACACUGAACAUUGAGCCUUGAUGUGUAGGAUAGGUGGGAGGCUUUGAAGUGUGGACGCCAGUCUGCAUGGAGCCGACCUUGAAAUACCACCCUUUAAUGUUUGAUGUUCUAACGUUGACCCGUGAUCCGGGUUGCGGACAGUGUCUGGUGGGUAGUUUGACUGGGGCGGUCUCCUCCUAAAGAGUAACGGAGGAGCACGAAGGUUGGCUAAUCCUGGUCGGACAUCAGGAGGUUAGUGCAAUGGCAUAAGCCAGCUUGACUGCGAGCGUGACGGCGCGAGCAGGUGCGAAAGCAGGUCAUAGUGAUCCGGUGGUUCUGAAUGGAAGGGCCAUCGCUCAACGGAUAAAAGGUACUCCGGGGAUAACAGGCUGAUACCGCCCAAGAGUUCAUAUCGACGGCGGUGUUUGGCACCUCGAUGUCGGCUCAUCACAUCCUGGGGCUGAAGUAGGUCCCAAGGGUAUGGCUGUUCGCCAUUUAAAGUGGUACGCGAGCUGGGUUUAGAACGUCGUGAGACAGUUCGGUCCCUAUCUGCCGUGGGCGCUGGAGAACUGAGGGGGGCUGCUCCUAGUACGAGAGGACCGGAGUGGACGCAUCACUGGUGUUCGGGUUGUCAUGCCAAUGGCACUGCCCGGUAGCUAAAUGCGGAAGAGAUAAGUGCUGAAAGCAUCUAAGCACGAAACUUGCCCCGAGAUGAGUUCUCCCUGACUCCUUGAGAGUCCUGAAGGAACGUUGAAGACGACGACGUUGAUAGGCCGGGUGUGUAAGCGCAGCGAUGCGUUGAGCUAACCGGUACUAAUGAACCGUGAGGCUUAACCUU